rnacentral:lncRNA from 1 species
AUGUCAAGUCAUAGCAAUGAGAUUUUGCAAACAAGGGUCAAAUCUCCCCGCCCAGUCAGAGAAAGGCACCCCACAGAGAAAACAAAGCUCUGCCUUUUGCAGCAGGAAGGCCUGCUUAGGCAGAGGUUUAACAGAGCUUGGCAAAACCUGCCAACCAUAGCUGAUGCAAUAAAGGCAUCCUUUUGCCCAAAGGAAAAGGAAAUUCUUAGGCAAGAAUUUGUAAAGGCCUUCAAUAAUGGGAGUGCUAUUGCAGAAGAAAUAAUCUAUGUACUGAACAAAAUUAGCACUCCAGAGUCUUUAGAUAGGGCUAAGGAAAUUUCUUUUAGCCUACAAGAAGAGAGGAGGCGUUACAGCGCGGUUCUAUCUGAACCAGAGCCCAGUUCCUUAUUCAAAGGUGCAGAAGAAAGGGUUCAAGGCUCCCCAUGUGUAAGCCUUAGAUCUAGUCUGCUCAAGAUUCCAUCUAAUGAUGCUAGCCAUAAAUCCAAGCAUUCAUCUAGGCAUAGCAGUUCCUCCCAAUCCAUACAUUCAUUCAUCAGUACUUCUUCCAAAGCAGCCCACUACAACAGAGAGGCUGUCCGUUUGAAAAUUAGAAAAGAGGUUUUAGAAGCAGAGGCGUCUGCAGAAAUGGCUAAGCAAGACCUUUCCUUCAAUGAAGAGGAACUCCUCCUUCAACAGGCUAAAGCCAAGCAGAAACUGCUUCUAGCGCAGGCUAGGGCCCAGCAAGAAGCUGAUCUAGCGCAGGCUAGGGCCCAACAAGAAGCUGACCUAGCGCAGGCUAGGGCCCAACAAGAAGCUGACCUAGCGCAGGCUAGGGCCCAACAAGAAGCUGGCCUAGCACAGGCCAGGGCCCAGAGAGAAAUAGAGCUUGCAAUGGCUGAAGCCAAGGAAGAUGAGCUGCAACGGGAUCUAGAUCUGCUUCAAGUAAAAAGAGACACAGCACAAAAGAUAGUCAGAGCUAACGUUCUAGCCAAAGCCCUAUCACAGGAACUAACCCAAGAAAACCUUAGUUUCCUGCCAACACAAGAGCCUACAGCAAAGGUUUCAGCACAUCUGCAACUGGAAUCACCUGUAGUGCAGAGUCAUAUCUCCUUUCGCCACCUUGAAGAUUGCUCACCUGUUCCAGUGUUCACAACUUCAAGGCCUGCCCAUUCCUCAGAAGUACAGCAAAGCACGGCCGGGAGAGUGCCAUCAUCUCUGUCAGAGUCCAUCCCUCUACUUAGGCCUCAGAGAUACCACCUGUCUACUUGGGAACGAAAGGAUGACGUCUUUCAACAACAUCCAGAUGUCCAUUCAGAUUGGCAAGGCAUGGCCGGGAGUGAACCACCACAUUCAUCCCUGCAUACCAAGUCAAUUCUCCCAUCGCUGAAGAUGAAGGCUUCAGAGGUGCUGCCUGCCAGCAAUCUGCUGAACCCAGCAUCACCUACCAUCGAGACAGGAUGUGUUCAACCGAAGAACAUUGACUUCGUCGGGCCACAUCACACUCCUCAGAUGUACCCUUACACACUGGAGUCUCAAUUGGGUUCCCUCUUGAGAAAUCCAAGAAGAGACAUCAGAGACAAAGGCGUCCAGAAAUUCACUGACCGACCGGAUGACUACCUUCUGUGGAAAGUCACCUUCAUGAGGGCCAUUCGAGAUUUCAAGCUAGAAGCGGAUGAAGAACUGUCCCUUCUUAUGGCGUGGCUUGGACCCAGCUCAGCUGAGCAAGUAAAAAGACUUUAUGCUGCUCAUGUAGCAGACCCCCAAAGAGCUUUGUCCACAGCGUGGUCUCGCUUGGACCAGCGCUUCGGUGCGAGCACUGAGAUAGAAGCAUCCCUCAUGGAUCGACUCAACAGGUUCCCAUCACUGAAGAUGAAAGAUUGCAAACAGCUUUGGGACUUUAGUGAUCUUUUACUAGAGCUAGCUUCAGCCAAAGGAAAUCCAGAGCUGCCAGGUUUAGCAUGUCUGGACCAGCACACGUCGCAGAGUGCCAUCCUCUGCAAACUUCCUUUUCCUCUUCGAGAAGCUUGGGGGAAACAGGUGUUCAAGUACAAAGAGGAGAAUGCAAAUGUAUACCCGCCCUUCACCUUUUUGGUGGAUUUCGUCACUAGAGCAGCCCGCGAGAGGAAUGACCCUCAGACAGGUCUUCCCGCUUUGUACCAAGGCCUAAAGCCUGAAAAGACCUCCAAAGAAGACAAAGCCCAGGGCAAAGAUCUUAGAAGGAACCUGAGUGUCAAGAUAACAGACGCAACUCCUGCAACUUCUGCUCAACCAGUCAGCAACAACACCAUAUCCUGUCCCAUUCAUCAAAGGCCACACAGCCUAGCUGAAUGCAGAGAGUUCGCAAAGAAGCCUUACAAAGAACGACUCCAAAUAGUUCAAAAGGCCAAGGUGUUCUUUAGAUGCUGCAGCGCCACUAUUCACUUCUCCAAAGACUGCAAAGAAAAGGUUAAAUGCCAACACUGCAACAGCAUCAAGCAUUGCUCUGCAAUGCACAACUUCGAUUCCCCUCAAUUCAAAGCAAAGUCAAAUUCUCCUACCAAAGAAGAAACCAAAGAAGACCAAAGGCCUACAGAACCUCAGGUAGCCCUCAAGGCUCCUGCGGUUGCCUGCACCAAGCUUUGUCAAAAUAGCCACAAGCCCAGGAUUUGCCACCCAAUCUGCCUGGCAGAGGUGUAUCCAGACAAGCAGCCGUGA